UUAACUACGAGACAGCUAAAAUUUUUUACUGUCUUAAAGCGAUUGCGGACAAAAUUGCAAGUAAAGAUGAGCUAUACAAUGACAUUAAUUUGCUAAGACCUGAAAUUUUGCUCGGAAUUGGAGAAUUGUAUCACAAGAAUAUGAAUGAAAAGUUAUAAAGUAAUCAUCCUCACUGUUGCAGAUAAAAUAAACACCUUCGAAUUGUUUGUUGAUUACACAUGACUGAAAUGAUAAUAAUGAUUUCGAAAAAAUUUCUGUCAUCAUGAAUUAUUUUUUUUAAAUAAUAAAUUUAUAUUUUUUUAAUUUCAUAAUUACAUAGUGAACUU